UUAUUUCCACGGAAACUUCAGGAGAUGCAAAGAGCACAGUCCCAUUUGACAGAACGAAUUCCCGGCUACGGAACGCUGUUUUUUCCACGCAGUCACCACCAUUCACUAUGCCAGCGUAAUACAAUCGGAGGCAUUACUUAAAGAGCAGCCCCGGCACCAUUAACACGGCCCGGGGAGUUGCAGCUGUCGCUCCAUUGGGAUGACCAGCGAGUGCCGCAUCCUCGUGGUGUCCCCUCCGCUCCCCGACGCCCCGUGGCUGCGGCAGAAGCAGAGCUGCGUCCCCGUGCUCAACCCCUCUCCCUUCUCUGGAAUCUCAUUCCUUCACACUGUGGUGAAGAGGUGGGGAUGGCAGCCGUUGUGAUGGAGCAGAAGUGUGGUGCCAGGAGCUCCGCAAGCGCUUCACGUAGGACGGCACUAACGAAAGCCAUAUCACCGCUUCCGUCUCUUGUGAACAUGAGGUGUAGGAGAUCAGUAGAUUUAAUCUCAAAACACACUGAUUUUGCUGAAUCUGAGGACAUCACCCGGUUCGACUGACCUGCCAUAGGCUGCGCUAUGUGUGACAACAACAACAACGUAGAGAAAACACAGUGCUCGGUACAGCAUGUUCCCAGCUCCGUGUCUGAACUGCAUGCACUUGAGCUGCAUCCAUUUCCUCCUGUAAGUGCAGGGAGGCUGUCUCCAUUCAUCCCCUCUGUCCCUCAGCAAGAGCCCCCUGUGCACUCAGCUCUUCUCUCCUGAGAUCUGUGCCGACUCUUUGCCUCCGGAGAGGCCACUGCAGGCACAGGUAGUUGGGGCAGCCCAACACCGAGCAGCAGAAAUGCAUUUAAUGUCACGGAAUGUGCUGCUCUCCCUCAGCCCAAACAGCACAGAACAGAGAGCAGCGCAGAGGGGACGCCGGCGUGUCCUAAUGGAGAAGGACAAAUAUGUCUGAGACGAACCUUCAGAGCAUCUCAUACAGAGUGAGUUGGGAAGAAUGUAUUAUUUCAAAACCUCCGUGUUUGUCCAAGCAGGCGGAUAAUGGCAUUCUUGAGAACACAGCGUUGCUGUCACACAGCGCCCUCAGCACAGAUGGAGACUGAGCAGAACUGCUUAGGAAUACGUUGGGGCUUCAUGUGUUUACAGUCCAUCCUAAUGGCAGGGCGGCUGAUGCUGAGCUCAGCCCGAGCAGUGAAUGGAAGACGUUUCCACGCACUGCUGUUCUGUGUUGGGCUUUUAGGCGCUGCAUGCACCACGGUUUCCUCUCCAAGCACCCUCCUUGCUGUGCUGCAUGGACCCAUGGCUGAAUUCUCACCGGAGCAGGUCUGCAGCUCCUGUACACACAACAAACGUGAGGAAGGGGCUGUCAUCUCUCACCACGCUCAGAAGUAACAGCACAGCUAUAGUAGCAAAAAUCCUCCUCACCCUGCUGGAUGAAGCUGAGCAUGGCUCUUACCUUGGGGGAACCAUAUCCCUCCCUUCCACAGCUCUGUUCUCACACAGUGCCCCUUUUAUGUCAGAAGCAGUAUCUCUACGCUGUGACAGCACUGCAGCAAGGCAUCACUUUUAGUAAUGGUCAUCUGCCUCUUACCAGAAUUUAAAGCAACUCAGUGUCUUCUGUGAUAUCAAAAUGGGUGAACCAGAUUCCAAAACCACACCCGGGUCACCUCAGCAGAGUGGAACCACCAUCGUUAGUUUCUGGAUUUAACAUACAUCCCUACAAACUGCUCAUGAGAGAAGGGCAGAUCGAUUCUGGAGAGCUGUAAAAUUUUCAUCUCGUUUUGCUAUGAAAAUUUGAAACCUGACAGGUAUGAGCCUGGAGAGAACCUGCACUAGGUUUGCUUCAGCCUACCCCUGGUCCGUGAUGCAGCGCUUGCAGAGACCAUCGAUCCAUCUCAAGCGAGCACAGUGUAGAAAGGGCUUACAAUGGCCCUUUGAUUACAAGUUCUCUUGGAGGCAUCUGCUGCUGCUUUUUUUUUUUUUUCCAGUCCUGCAUCUGCAGGAACAUCUCCCUUAGCACUCAGUGGGAGAAAUCUGGAAGAGAACCAAACUGAAAUGAAUGGCAGAGCAGGUAUAAAGGAGCCAGUUGUGUUGCUGUGACUUGGCUUGUCCCACGUGCCCACUCACUUCAGCACUACCCAGGAAUCAAGUGAAGGAAGCAAGAGUCUCACUUUUCCCUCAAGUACCAUAACUGCAGUUGCUCUGCCACAUUAUCUUCAGCUCCUACCAAAGAAGCAGCUAUGCUUCCAUUUUCCUCCUCACUGAUGUAACAUGGAGAUGUCUGCUCCUGAGCUACAUCUCUGAUCUCUCCAGUCCUUCCCAGAGGACUGGGAGCUCUCAUUUGCAUGGAGAGUGCUUAUUUUUAUUGAGCUGGCUUGGCCUCCCCUGAUCUUUCUCAAGGGAACCCCCUAGAUGCCAUCUGCG
ensembl:lncRNA